GAGCAUGAAAAAUUUGAGAAGAAUAAGGGUGAGUAUAUAGAGAAAAUGAAGAACAAAAUAGCAUUGAUACACAAAACAACAUAAGAAAAUAAGGUUGUUAAUUGAAGCAAAGCAUGGAGAAGAAAAGCUAAAGGCAAAGGCAGAGGAAAUUGCUGCCAAACACAGAGCUACUGGAACUGCUCCUAAGAAGAUUUUCAAUUGUUUCUAAUUUUAAAUUAAACCAUAUAUGUUUACAAUAAUUUUAAAGCUGAAAUGUGCUUGAUUUUCUGUAAUGGUAUGCUCUUGUUUCCAUUUCUUAUUGACUUGUUAAAAGUUAAGAUGUUCAAAAAGCUAACCACAAAAGUUCUUAUAUUAGAUAUUUUUUAUCUCGUACAGACUAUCGGUUCCAAUUUGUAGGAACGGUGUAUUUAGGUACUUUAGAACCUCAACUACCUUCAAGUAGAUUGUACAUUGUAAGGAAAUCAUAGUAAGCCUUCAGAUGUAUGAUCAUAGAGAAUUGGCAAGCAUCCAAUAGAAAUGGAGCACGUCAGAUAAUAAAGGUAUAUAUCUUAUGAAGGCUAGCAACUCAAGAGGAUACCUCUAACAUAUAAAGAAGAUAAGAACAAUCUAACGAUAUAGUUAACAGGUUCAACUGGAGUCGACAACUUCAUGAGUUUACUUUCAAAGAACAUUUUCAGAGACAAAC